ACGAACGCUGGCGGCGUGCCUAAUACAUGCAAGUAGAACGCUGAAGGAGGAGCUUGCUUCUCUGGUUGCGUUGCGAACGGGUGAUUAUCGCGUAGGUAACCUGCCUGGUAGCGGGGGAUCACUCUUGGAAACGCUAUCUAAUACCACAUAAUAUUAGAUGUUGCAUGACAUUUCUCUAAAAGUUGCACUUGCAUCACUACCUGAUUCACCUGCGUUGUAUUAUCUAGUUGGUGGGGUAACGGCUCACCAAGGCGACGAUACCUAGACGACCUGAGAGGGUGAUCGGCCAAAAUGGGACUGAGACAAGGCCCAGACUCCUAAGGGAGGAAGCAGGAGGGAAAUAUCGGAAAAGGACGGAAGGCUGAACGAGCAACGCCGCGGGAGGGAAGAAGGGUUUCGGAUCGUAAAGCUAGGUUGUAAGAGAAGAAAGAGUGUGAGAGUGGAAAGUUCACACUGUGACGGUAUCUUAACAGAAAGGGACGGCUAACUACGUG
rnacentral:rRNA from 1 species